GCAUGCUGCAUCUACGCAGGGAGUGAGUGAGUGAAAGAGAGGGAGCGAGAAACGGAGAGAUUGGAAAAAGGUGUCAGUUUUGCUUCUAUUUUUCUGUUAUUUGGCGGCUUCUUUCGUUUAUUUUCUGGUCUUGUAACUUCU
rnacentral:ribozyme from 1 species